GAAAUGCGAUAAGUAAUGUGAAUUGCAGAAUUCAGUGAAUCAUCGAAUCUUUGAACGCACCUUGCGCUCCUUGGUAUUCCUUGGAGCAUGCCUGUUUGAGUAUCAUGAAAUCUUCAAAGUAAAUCUUUUGUUAACUCAAUUGGUUUCUACUUUGGUAUUGGAGGUCUUUGCAGCUUCACACCCGCUCCUCUUUGUUCAUUAGCUGGAUCUCAGUGUUAUGCUUGGUUCCACUCGGCGUGAUAAGUUAUCUAUCGCUGAGGACACUGUAAAAGGUGGCCAAGGUAAAUGCAGAUGAACCGCUUCUAAUAGUCCAUUGACUUGGACAAUACUUUUAUGAUCUGAUCUCAAAUCAGGUAGGACUACCCGCUGAACUUAAAC
rnacentral:misc_RNA from 1 species